GACAACUAGGAUUGUAUAAGACUAGUAUGUUUGCCUUUUCCCUUUAUUAAUUGGUGAAAUGGAGAGGUGUAGGAUAGUUUAAAACUGUACUUUCAUUUUUUAGUUUAACAAGUUGAGUUAGCAGUGAAGAGAUGGAUGUAUUAAACUCUUCUUCAUUGUGUAUUUCAUUCUUUAUUUCUUCUUUCUGCUGCUAAAUCAGAUUUUAGGAGCAAAAGUCAUGAUACUUGAGGCCUUAUCCAGGAACAACUGACUGAUUAUCGUAAUCUCUCUGGGACACCAUAUGAAACACUUGCAGCCCUAAACCUCUUUAGGGUGAUAUGCAUCCAUUCUUUUAUCCCUUUUAUACCUAAUUGCUCUCAAAGUGUAUAUCUGAUUGACAAGCGUCAAUCUUUUAUAAUUGGUUAAUAUGUCAUAGACAUGAUCGAGAAAGGGGUGUUCCGUGCACUAAAGCUGGGCUAUGCGUGGGAUCUGAGGAAGGGCUGGACCACAGGGUCUAAUCCAAAAAAUUCAUGUUGAACAUGGAGCGGCUAUAGUGAUGCUCAAGGCCAACUGUGGUGAAUUAAAUUACUUUUAGGUUGUAAACUUACAAAUUAUAUUUAAACAAUUUUCUACUAACAUGAUAUAUCAGGUAUCUUUUGCAGG